UGACUUUUUCCAGCAAAAUAUGUCAUUGACUGAACAUAAAAACAAGCAUCUACAACCACUGUUAUUUGUAAAACUACAUGGGUUUCAAUAGUGAGUGUUGCAGAAGAUGCUGUUUCAUCCAAAUGGG